UGAUCGCUGUCGCUGGUGCUCAGGGUCGCUCUAAAUAUAGCGGUAGCCCUGCUGUUCGACGCUCGCAUAAUUCGACCCAUAUGUAAUUGUAAACAUUUUAUAUGGUUGUAAUCAGCAAUUCUUGUGAAGUAUGGUGAUGAAAAAAACCCAAAAGACAAUAAAAAAAUUGGUAUUAUUGAAUUAUUUUGUUUUAAAAACCAGAAAAUGCUUUGGUUUUUAAUUCUACAUCUGAAAUUGUGAUCGGCAUAUGAACUUCAUUUAUGCACAUAUUUUAAUGAGAAGACGAGCAUUUUAACUAAUAUAUUAAAUUAUAUAACUAGUGCAGCUCCUUUAGCAAAAAUAUCAACAGAAACUUACUAAUAAUUAUUCAUUUUACAUGCAAGAAUCAUCGAGAUCGGCAUCCCACCAAUGUCGUCCUGUACUGGAGUCUCGACUGAUUUAUUUCAUUAUGAUUAUGAUAACAAUACCUUGAAAGAAUUGUAUCAUCGCAAUCGCAAAACAUGAUUUUGAGUCCACACCAGCUUCCACAAUCUGACAAAGGAGAAAAUUUAUGGGAAGCAUCCAUGGGUAACCGACGACGAGGAAUUAUAAGAUGUGAAGGAUUUCCACCAAUUUGAAUUAAACUAAUUGGAAUGAGUUCCUGACAUAUGAAAAAAUUGCCAUUUUUCACCAGUUUCCAAAUAUGUGCAAGAAGUAUAGAGGCGUUGAAAGCUGAGAAAGAGACAAAAAUUCCUUUCCAAUGUUACAUAUUAUAUAUAUGUAUGACAGUGAGGCUAUCAAUAGUGUAGAGGCAACAUGUGAUAAACAAGUGAAGUGUUUGCUAAUAAAACAUUUUUUCUGAAAG